AUUGAACGCUGGCGGCAUGCUUUACACAUGCAAGUCGAACGGUAACGGGCCUUCGGGUGCCGACGAGUGGCGAACGGGUGAGUAAUGCAUCGGAACGUGCCCGAUCGUGGGGGAUAACGCAGCGAAAGCUGCGCUAAUACCGCAUACGAUCUGAGGAUGAAAGCGGGGGACCGUAAGGCCUCGCGCGAUCGGAGCGGCCGAUGUCAGAUUAGGUAGUUGGUGGGGUAAAGGCUCACCAAGCCGACGAUCUGUAGCUGGUCUGAGAGGACGACCAGCCACACUGGGACUGAGACACGGCCCAGACUCCUACGGGAGGCAGCAGUGGGGAAUUUUGGACAAUGGGCGCAAGCCUGAUCCAGCAAUGCCGCGUGCAGGAAGAAGGCCUUCGGGUUGUAAACUGCUUUUGUACGGAGCGAAAAGGCUUUCUCUAAUACAGGAGGCUGAUGACGGUACCGUAAGAAUAAGCACCGGCUAACUACGUGCCAGCCGCCGCCGUAACAC
rnacentral:rRNA from 1 species